rnacentral:rRNA from 1 species
UUAAUUGAAGAGUUUGAUCAUGGCUCAGAUUGAACGCUGGCGGCAGGCUUAACACAUGCAAGUCGAGCGGUAGCACAGGGGAGCUUGCUCCCUGGGUGACGAGCGGCGGACGGGUGAGUAAUGUCUGGGAAACUGCCUGAUGGAGGGGGAUAACUACUGGAAACGGUAGCUAAUACCGCAUAACGUCGCAAGACCAAAGAGGGGGACCUUCGGGCCUCUUGCCAUCAGAUGUGCCCAGAUGGGAUUAGCUAGUAGGUGGGGUAAUGGCUCACCUAGGCGACGAUCCCUAGCUGGUCUGAGAGGAUGACCAGCCACACUGGAACUGAGACACGGUCCAGACUCCUACGGGAGGCAGCAGGGGAAUAUUGCACAAUGGGCGCAAGCCUGAUGCAGCCAUGCCGCGUGUGUGAAGAAGGCCUUCGGGUUGUAAAGCACUUUCAGCGAGGAGGAAGGUGGUGAGCUUAAUACGUUCAUCAAUUGACGUUACUCGCAGAAGAAGCACCGGCUAACUCCGUGCCAGCAGCCGCGGUAAUACGGAGGGUGCAAGCGUUAAUCGGAAUUACUGGGCGUAAAGCGCACGCAGGCGGUUUGUUAAGUCAGAUGUGAAAUCCCCGGGCUCAACCUGGGAACUGCAUUUGAAACUGGCAAGCUAGAGUCUCGUAGAGGGGGGUAGAAUUCCAGGUGUAGCGGUGAAAUGCGUAGAGAUCUGGAGGAAUACCGGUGGCGAAGGCGGCCCCCUGGACGAAGACUGACGCUCAGGUGCGAAAGCGUGGGGAGCAAACAGGAUUAGAUACCCUGGUAGUCCACGCUGUAAACGAUGUCGAUUUGGAGGUUGUGCCCUUGAGGCGUGGCUUCCGGAGCUAACGCGUUAAAUCGACCGCCUGGGGAGUACGGCCGCAAGGUUAAAACUCAAAUGAAUUGACGGGGGCCCGCACAAGCGGUGGAGCAUGUGGUUUAAUUCGAUGCAACGCGAAGAACCUUACCUACUCUUGACAUCCAGAGAACUUUCCAGAGAUGGAUUGGUGCCUUCGGGAACUCUGAGACAGGUGCUGCAUGGCUGUCGUCAGCUCGUGUUGUGAAAUGUUGGGUUAAGUCCCGCAACGAGCGCAACCCUUAUCCUUUGUUGCCAGCGGUUCGGCCGGGAACUCAAAGGAGACUGCCAGUGAUAAACUGGAGGAAGGUGGGGAUGACGUCAAGUCAUCAUGGCCCUUACGAGUAGGGCUACACACGUGCUACAAUGGCAUAUACAAAGAGAAGCGACCUCGCGAGAGCAAGCGGACCUCAUAAAGUAUGUCGUAGUCCGGAUUGGAGUCUGCAACUCGACUCCAUGAAGUCGGAAUCGCUAGUAAUCGUAGAUCAGAAUGCUACGGUGAAUACGUUCCCGGGCCUUGUACACACCGCCCGUCACACCAUGGGAGUGGGUUGCAAAAGAAGUAGGUAGCUUAACCUUCGGGAGGGCGCUUACCACUUUGUGAUUCAUGACUGGGGUGAAGUCGUAACAAGGUAACCGUAGGGGAACCUGCGGUUGGAUCACCUCCUUACCUAAAGA